AGUCGAGCGAGGUCCAUCCAGUGGUAACACUGGUGAAGACCUAGCGGCGAACGGGUGAGUAACACGUGAGAAACCUGCCCCGAAGACUGGGAUAACUCUCCGAAAGGAGAGCUAAUACCAGAUGCCCUCACCGGGCCGCAUGACUUGGUGAGGAAAUGGAUUCCGCUUCGGGAGGGUCUCGCGGCCUAUCAGCUUGUUGGUGAGGUAACGGCUCACCAAGGCUUCGACGGGUAGCUGGUCUGAGAGGAUGAUCAGCCACACUGGGACUGAGACACGGCCCAGACUCCUACGGGAGGCAGCAGUGGGGAAUCUUGCGCAAUGGGCGAAAGCCUGACGCAGCAACGCCGCGUGGGGGAUGAAGGCUCUCGGGUUGUAAACCCCUUUCAGCAGGGAAGAUUAUGACGGUACCUGCAGAAGAAGCCCCGGCCAACUACGUGCCAGCAGCCGCGGUAAUACGUAGGGGGCAAGCGUUGUCCGGAUUUAUUGGGCGUAAAGAGCUUGUAGGCGGCUUGGUAAGUCGAGUGUGAAAACUCCAGGCUCAACCUGGAGACGCCAUUCGAUACUGCCAUGGCUAGAGUCCGGUAGAGGAGCACGGAAUUCCUGGUGUAGCGGUGAAAUGCGCAGAUAUCA
rnacentral:rRNA from 1 species